GUCUGAGAAUGGAUAGAAGAAACAAUGUGAGAGGACGAGGACGAGUGCGAGGUGGGCGAUGAGGAGGAAGAGGAGAAGGAGGAGGGCAAGAUAGAGGAAGACAAAGAGUGGAAAUAUCAGAUGAAAUUCGAGCAACAGUUAUAGACUAUGUUCUUGUCCAUGAACUGACAAUGAGUGAAGCCGGACUUAGAGUGCAACCCAAUUUGAGCCGAUGUUCUGUGUCCACCACAGUAAGGACAUUCAGAGAAGAGAACAGAAUUGCAAGGCUGCCACAUGCAGGUGGAAGGACAGCUAUAUUCACUCGGGAGCAAGAGGCUGUUAUAGUUGGCCUGGUCCUUCAAGAUAAUGCAAUACGACUCAGAGAAAUCCAGGAACGAGUGAUACAAGACAACACACACUUCCAGGGAAUCGACAGUGUGAGCAUUUCCACAAUUGACCGUGUCCUCCAUCGUAACAGGAUGCGAAUGAAACACGUAUACAGAGUACCUUCUGAGCGCAACUCACCAAGGGUGAAAGAACUGCGAGCUCAGCAUGUGCAAACAAUAUUUGACUUGGAAUCCUUGGACAGACCCCAUGAGUUGAUCUUUCUCCAUGAAGCAGGCUUCAAUCUAACAAAGAGGAGAAGGAGAGGCCCAAACAUGAUUGGACAGCGGGCCAUUGUUGAAGUCCCUGGUCAACAAGGUGGCAAUGUCACAAUCUGUGCUGCUAUCAGCAACCAUGGUGUUCUACAUCACCAUGUUACACUCGGGCUAUAUAACACCCAGCACCUUCUAAGAUUGUGAUAGUGUGGGACAAUGUCAGUUUCCACCAAGCUGCUCAGGUAAGGGGAUGGUUUAACAUCAAUGGGCAGUUUAUGAACUUGUACCUCCCUCCAUACUCGCCUUUCCUGAAUUCGAUUGAGGAGUUUUUCUCCUCUUGGAGAUGGAAAGUGUAUGAUAGACAACCCUACACCAGAGUAAAUCUGCUGCAAGCCAUGGAUUUAGCCUGUGGUGAUAUAGGUGAGGAAUCAUGUCAGGGCUGGAUACGGCACACCAGAGGCUUCUUCCCCCGUUGCCUCAGGACGGACAAUGUUGCUUGUGAUGUCGAUGAAGUGCUCUGGCCUGACCCAGCCCAAAGACAAGAAGAAGCACAUUGAUCACAUGUUUAUUCCUUUGAUUUUUGUCCCUUUUAGUAUUGUAUACUGUAGUGCAUUGCCAACAAAGGGUAUGUAACAAAGUAUUGAGAUAAACGUUUGUUAUUGACCAAAUACUUA